rnacentral:lncRNA from 1 species
ACUUUGGAUUAGUAAUUUUGCUGAAUUUAGGAUUAGUUAAGAUACAAGAAUUAAAUUAUAAAAGAGGUAAAAGUUCGAUUAUUAUGAAAUUUUAUUAAUUAGAGAUGAAACAAGGACUAAAGUGGGAAUUAUACCACUUUAGAAAUAAUAAUGGACGGUAAAUAGGUGUUUUCAUCAUAAUUCGGUUUAAAAAUUUAAAGAAAUAAUAAAUAAAAAUAAUGGAAAGUGGGGGAGCUGGUGGACAGAAAAAACAAAGGAAAUAUUUUUUUUUUCUACCAUGGGAGAUACGACUAGUGUGAAAGUACUAAAGGGAGAUACGACUGUAUGGGGGUGGAAAGGAAGGAAUGAAGUUGCUCAAGUGGAAGUCUGAAGCUUGCUAGCAAAAAGGUGGAAGGACCAAACGGCAAAAGGGAAAUAUAAACUAGUGUGGGAAAAAUAUUUUGGUGAGAUCCCUAACUCCAAACUUUGAAAUUUCUAUUUAUUAUAAUGAUCUAUUGUGCUUGCUUUGGUUGAAAUUUGUUGGAGCUGCACUUAGGAUUUCGGUUAAUAAAAAGAAAUAAGAUAAUGUGGUAAGUUUCCCUUGAAUUGUACACACUUACUCAUUUAGUUAAUUUCCAAGUUGAAUUAAACUAGUUGGUGACUUCAAUUAAGUUGUCUGAAUUUUAUGAACAAAUUGUCAAUUAGCUGCUGUUGAUUUUUGGUUAGAAGCAAGUAAAACAUGUUGGAAAUUUGAAGAAAUGGUUGUCUAAAAUGGCUGUUGUUGGAUUAUGAGUUUAAUUCAUUUCUUUCUUGAAUGGUUGAUUGGUUAUACUCUUAUGCUGGUAAGUGUGAUGAACAUUGAGGGAAAAGUCUUGAUGAUUGUUAGUUAUUAAGUGAGCUGCCGUGACAUGCAAACCCUAUGUAUGUUGUCUGAAUAUGACUUAUUGUUAUGAAAUUAAGAUGUCCUGCUGCUGGAAUUGAUUAAAUAUUAAUGUCCUAAGCUGUCAUAACUACAAUUAAGAUGUUCUGCGAUUGGAAUUGAAUAAAAAAAUUAAUAUCCUAAGCUACAAUUAAAAGAUUUCAUAGUUAAAAUUAAGAUGUCGUACUUUUAUAUUGUGAUUAAAAUGUAAGUUCUUAUGUUGUCUUAAAAUAUUAUUUGAAGCGGAUUAAUUACCCUAAACUAAACGAUUUUAAUAAUGAAAUUAUGAUAUAUUAAAGCGGCAAUUUGAGAGGAGUUUAUAAUUAUAAUUUAUUGUGCUUUGAUGCUGUGAUUAAAAUGUUUAACUUCGGCUUUGAUAUUUAUAAUGUGUCGCUAAUAUGUAAAUUGAGUUUUAUCUUGCUAAUGAAAUUGAGUGUCGCUCCGAGUAGGUUUUCUUGAAAUUUUUGUUUACAUGCUAGGUAAGUUGAUCAUUCUUCUAAUAGAUUCGGCUGGAAAUUUCUUGAUCAUUUCUUUAAAUUUGAAAUUGAUGGUAUACAAUGCUGCCAAAUGUUGAAUUAUCAUGCUAUCCUAUUUGGUUUUGAAAGCUGUUGUCGGUUGGUAAUUAAGCAAGCCGUAGGCAGUUUUAUUGAAUUAAUAAUGCCCAAUUGAUAUAUGUUUAAGCAAUUUGGUUACUAUAUUUGUAAGGUUGGUUUAUUUGGGAUGGGUGGUUUGUUAAUGCUAUUUGAAGUUUAAAAUGUUAAAAUCGAUGAUAGUUACAUUAAUAUGUUGAUUCGACUAUUAUGACGAAAAUGUUGUCCAAUUUUUUAAACACUUUUAAAUGUGGUAUUGACCGUUAAAUAUUUUUAUUUAAUAUCGUUAAUGUUGUACGAAUGGAAUUACUAGAAAAAAAAUUGAAUUGAUCUUUUGAAGGCAAUAAAAUGAUGUCUAGAAUGAAUGUUUUUGCAGCUCGGUUUGUACAUGAUGACACUGUCCAAAUUGAUAUUUAGAACAAUUCAUUACGUGUGCCAUAAGGUUGUUUGAAACGAAGUUUGUUGCCACUAAAUUAUCUUGUAAGUGAUAUCAAGUGAGCAGGAAUAAAUUGAUGUUAUAAUAGAAAUGUCAUCUAAAUGAAUGUAAGUCUAGGAUGUUGAUAAAUUUUAUUAAAAUUUUAUUUAUAUUUGUUAUAUGGAAUGGGUUACAAAUAUCAAUUGUAUACAAUAGAGCAUGUACUUAAAAUAAUAUUGUAUUUAUAUUAGGCUAAGUUAAUCAAUAUCGUAUGCUUAAAUUGUUUUAUUUAGGAUAAAAUUUGGAUUGUUUUUCUUUGUGUGUAGGUUAAUUUAACUUUUGAAAUUAUUUUUGGGUUUUUACCUCAGCAUCUCAUUUACAAUCUCGGUCUCAGUAAUU